UCGCUUUGUCAACAAAUAUACUAAAAUUGGAACGAUACAGAGAAGAUUAGCAUGGCCCCUGCAUAAGGAUGGCACACAAAUUCGUGAAGCAGUCUAUAUUAAA